rnacentral:rRNA from 1 species
UACAGAGGGUGUGAGCGUUAAUCGGAGUUACUGGGCGUAAAGGGCGCGUAGGCGGCCUUCUAAGUCAGACGUGAAAUCCCCGGGCUCAACCCGGGAACUGCGUCUGAUACUGGAAGGCUUGAAUCCGGGAGAGGGAUGUGGAAUUCCAGGUGUAGCGGUGAAAUGCGUAGAUAUCUGGAGGAACACCGGUGGCGAAGGCGGCAUCCUGGACCGGUAUUGACGCUGAGGCGCGAAAGCCAGGGGAGCAAACAGG